rnacentral:lncRNA from 1 species
AAGGCUGUGAACAGCAGGGUGGAAAUAACUGUCCAGAGCGGGGAGAGCUCCCAACACUUUGAGGAGAAAGGGUCGGUCAGCUGUAGAACUGGCCAGCGAGAGCCCCAGGGGGGAAGCCGGAGUCUUCCCCGGCCCGAGGAGACCAGGGCUGCCUCCAGUCAAAACAGAACACUGGAGCUGGGGUCUUCGCACACCGCCGCACAAUGCCGUGUUGCCCGCGGAUGUGGAAAAGCCGGCAGCAGCACGGCCUGGGCCUCGGCUGAGCGCGAGAGCGCGGCGGCAUCGCUGGGAACCCACACGUGGGCAUCACCGUCCAGGGUCUCAGAUACCCUCUAGCACGAGGGGAAAGGAUCUUCAGAAGGAGCAGUUCCUCUGGACCUUGGCCUACAUUGGCUCUUGAACUCACCUGUCCUGCCCAGGCCUCCAAGUCAGUUAAGCCCCUACCCCCAGGAGUCCCUCCACCUUCCCUGGCACCUGUGGGAGGCAG